GACGAAGGUGGCAAGCGUUGUUCGGAAUCACUGGGCAUAAAGAGCACGUAGGCGGCUAAGUCAGUCGGAUGUGAAAUACCUCGGCUCAACCGAGGAACUGCGUCCGAUACUGCUUGGCUUGAGGUCCGGAGGGGAGAGUGGAAUUCCCGGUGGAGCGGUGAAAUGCGUAGAGAUCGGGAAGAACGCCGGCGGCGAAAGCGACUCUCUGGUCGGAAUCUGACGCUGAGGUGCGAAAGCUAGAAGAGCAAACGGG
rnacentral:rRNA from 1 species